CAGGAGAAUACUGACAUCCAACUGUCUAAGUUCUGCUUCUGAAAGAGCCUGAAGACAAAGGGUAGAGCACUCUCUUCCCAGCAUUCUAUUCCUUUUCUUCAUUUUUAAGCCAAGACAGCCAGCUACUGGGUGCUGUGGAUCUAACCCAGUACCAACUAUCUAUUGAUCCCUCCUGAGGUUCUUCAACCUUCCUCCCUCUUCUCCCAGUGGGACAGAUGAAAGGACAAUGCACGUGGACUCAAAGCCUUUCUUUGUCAACUUGCAGUCUUGUCUACCUUUAGUGGGGAUCCAGACACUUACUACUUUGAAUUUGUCUUCGACCUGGUGUCCUUGGGUCAGCAGAUGUCAACUCCCUUUGGAAAAGUGAGCCAGCAGCUAUGCAAAACACAGAAGCCUGGCAGAAGGAUCCAAUCAUUUCCUCAGGAUGAAAGGUAAGACUAAUAUAAACUACAUCUAAAGGACCAGACUUUUACCAGCUGCAAAAUACAAUGGAGCUGUAUGAUGAUGAGAACCACUAACACCUCAAGAUCACAUCCUCAACUCUGAACAAACUG
rnacentral:lncRNA from 1 species